GGUUAGCCGACACACCUUUCAAAUAAAAAUAAAAAAAUGAAAAAAAGCAUUCCAACUAAGUCCCAAUUUUUCCUUGCCGUGUUCUUUUAGUAUGUAAAGUUUUAUCUAACCCUGCAAAACUCUCUUAUUUUUUAAAUUCCUACCUUCCUUUGGCUGUCCAGCAUCUUGUGAGUUUUUUCGGUUUCUAUAAAUUUUCGGGGUGGAGUUGUUUACUCCAAUAAAGUUAUAAUUUUGUCAUCCAUUCAUUCAAGUUAUAACACGUUCCUUUCCUAUCCUUUAAAAAGCAGGGUCAUUCAUAGUCCAAAUCAUGGGUUAGGACCUACCUAAUUGGUUGUUGCUCCAUAUGGGUUUGACAGCUCCUUCUGGAAUCCUUCCUAAAAAUUAUAGUGUAUGGCAUGAAAGGGAAGCUGCAUGCAAUUGAAGUUGUAUUACAGUAACAACUGGGGUUUGGAUGCAUCUUUUCUGAAGUUUCAUAUGUUGAUCUGGAGAGCCUUAAGUCACUUGUUCGCAGUGCCAGCAGUAGGGGUGUCCAGAUUGUUACAUAUAUCUGUGCCAUCAUCUCCAAAGCAUCAAGCAUUGGGAAUUGUUCUAUGCUAGAGGUAUUAGACCUCAGAAUGAACAAUUUGUUUGGCAAUAUUCCUGGUUCGUUGUGUCAGUUCAGAAUUCUUCAAACAUUGCACCAUAGUGACAACAAAUUCUCAAUAGAGCUUCCAUUGUAUUGCCAAAACUUAUUGAAUUUGGAGACACAGGAUCUUGGAAACAACAAAUUAAUGGGUACAAUUUCACCAUGGAUUGGAGAAUGUUUUGAAAAGCUAAGUGUUCUUAGAUUGAGGUCGAAUGCAUUUUCCGGAGAACUUCUAUCGGUGCUGUCAAAUUCAAGUUCAAUUCAAGUCCUGGACUUGGCAGGAAAUCAGUUCCAUGGAAAUAUACCUGCUAGUUUUGGAGAUCUCAAAGCUAUGACUCAAGUUCAAAAACGUAACCGUUAUUUGCUGUAUGAGAUUGAGGGAUGAAUGUAGAAUGACCUAACAUAUAGUAAAUGCAUAAUCCACGUCUUUGUUAAAUUAUAUAUAUAAAGCCUUCUAUUUUCAUU